rnacentral:rRNA from 1 species
UACAGAGGUCUCAAGCGUUGUUCGGAUUCAUUGGGCGUAAAGGGUGCGUAGGCGGCGCGGUAAGUCGGGUGUGAAAUCUUGGAGCUUAACUCCGAAACUGCAUUCGAUACUGCCGUGCUUGAGGACUGGAGAGGAGACUGGAAUUUACGGUGUAGCGGUGAAAUGCGCAGAUAUCAGGAGGAACACCGGUGGCGAAGGCGGAUCUCUGGGCCUUACCUGACGCUCAGGCGCGAAAGCUAGGGGAGCGAACAGG